UAUAAAGCAAUGAGCAGAAGUAGUAGGGAUAAGUGAAAUUUUCAGAGAACCGAUGAUGCUGUGAUUUCGGUAAUUUCAAAAUCUUGAACUCGUCUGUGAGCUGUCUCCUGAAUUUAUUAGUAAGGCAGAACGUGGUCCUCCGUUACAAGGAUAGAUGGUAAUUUGCCAUUGAAAAAGUGAGUUCAUAAUAGAACUAAUUAGAGUGGUACCGCGGGUUAGCCUCGUCUCUUUU
rnacentral:ncRNA from 1 species